rnacentral:rRNA from 1 species
ACAGAGGGGGCAAGCGUUGUUCGGAAUUACUGGGCGUAAAGGGCGCGUAGGCGGCCUGCUAAGUCGAACGUGAAAUCCCUGGGCUCAACCCAGGAACUGCGUCCGAUACUGGUUGGCUUGAAUCCGGGAGAGGGAUGUGGAAUUCCAGGUGUAGCGGUGAAAUGCGUAGAUAUCUGGAGGAACACCGGUGGCGAAGGCGGCAUCCUGGACUGUAACUGACACUGAGGAACGAAAGCCAGGGGAGCAAACGGGA